AAUAUUGCACAAGUGGGGGAAACCCUGAUGCAGCCAUGCCGCGUGUGUGAAGAAGGCCUUCGGGUUGUAAAGCACUUUCAGUAGGGAGGAAGGUAGUGUAGUUAAUACCUGCAUUAUUUGACGUUACCUACAGAAGAAGCACCGGCUAACUCCGUGCCAGCAGCCGCGGUAAUACGGAGGGUGCGAGCGUUAAUCGGAAUUACUGGGACGUAAAGCGCAUGCAGGCGGCCUGUUAAGUCAGAUGUGAAAGCCCCGGGGCUUAACCUCGGAAUUGCAUUUGAAACUGGCAGGCUAGAGUCUUGUAGAGGGGGUAGAAUUUCAGGUGUAGCGGUGAAAUGCGUAGAGAUCUGAAGGAAUACCAGUGGCGAAGGCGGCCCCCUGGACAAAGACUGACGCUCAGAUGCGAAAGCGUGGGGAGCAAACAGGAUUAGAUACCCUGGUAG
rnacentral:rRNA from 1 species